GCGAUGAGAUUGGUGCCGGAUUGUGUGUUCAUGAACAGUUACAGAUUACGGCAUUAACAAAACUGGAGCGGAUAGUAAAAGAAAACUUUUAAAUUGUUCACAAAAUCAUACAUAAGCAGGCUUUUUUUUACAUAAAAACAUAUCUUUAAAUUGACUAUAUUGAUGUUUUAACAAUGCAAGCUUUUUCUCUGGUUGUUCCGAUAUUUUCAAGAUUGAUCCGGUGUAACCUAUGAACGGAAAUCAAUUCAGCAGAAGCUGCCAAUAAUUAAACUAUUUAUAAUAAUAUUUGAAGACAUUAAAAAUGCAAAUACUAUUCUUUAAGCGUAUUCUUUAACUUAAGGUUAAAUUUUGAGAACUACAAAAAAUUUAAUAAUACCUAUAUCGUUCUUUCUUUUUUUAAAGUACAUAUUCAUCAUGAACAAAACAUGUUACAUAGUCAUGUCACUUAUAUCAUAACGAAGUUUUCUGAAAUUCAGUUAAACAAGAGAACAAUGUAAACGAAAAAUAUAAAAUAAAGUAAAAAUUAUCGUCUAA